rnacentral:rRNA from 1 species
GACGAACCGUGCGAACGUUGUUCGGAAUCACUGGGCAUAAAGGGCGCGUAGGCGGCCAGCACAAGUCAGUUGUGAAAUCUCCGAGCUUAACUCGGAACGGUCAACUGAUACUGUGCGGCUAGAGUGCAGAAGGGGCAACUGGAAUUCUUGGUGUAGCGGUGAAAUGCGUAGAUAUCAAGAGGAACACCUGCGGCGAAGGCGGGUUGCUGGGCUGACACUGACGCUGAGGCGCGAAAGCUAGGGGAGCGAACGGG